rnacentral:rRNA from 1 species
GUACCCAGUAGAGGGCGAUAGUCCGGCGAAUGCCGGAUUAAUACUGCAUACGACCUACGGGUGAAAGGGGGGGAUCGCAAGACCUCUCGCUAUUGGAGCGGCCGAUGUCAGAUUAGGUAGUUGGUGGGGUAAAGGCCUACCAAGCCGACGAUCUGUAGCUGGUCUGAGAGGACGACCAGCCACACUGGGACUGAGACUCGGCCCAGAGUCCUACUGGAGUCAGCAGAGGGGUAUUUUGGACAAUGGGCGCAAGCCUGAUCCAGCCAUGCCGCGUGCGGGAAGAAGGCCUUCGGGUUGUAAACCGCUUUUGUCAGGGAAGAAAUCUUCUGGGCUAAUACCUCGGGAGGAUGACGGUACCUGAAGAAUAAGCACCGGCUAACUACGUGCCAGCAGCCGCGGUAAUACGUAGGGUGCAAGCGUUAAUCGGAAUUACUGGGCGUAAAGCGUGCGCAGGCGGUUUUGUAAGACAGAUGUGAAAUCCCCGGGCUCAACCUGGGAACUGCCUUUGUGACUGCAAGGCUUGAGUGCGGCAGAGGGGGAUGGAAUUCCGCG